rnacentral:rRNA from 1 species
GUCAUAGACGCGAAACCUAGUGAUCUAGGCCUGUCCAGGCUGAAGCUGAGGUAAGACUCAGUGGAGGGCCGAACUCACCGCCGUUGAAAAGUUGGGAGAUGAGAUAGGUCUAGGGGUGAAAAGCCAAUCGAACUAGGAGAUAGCUCGUUCUCUCCGAAAUGCAUUUAGGUGCAGCCUUGAACUGAGAUAUGUGGGGGUAGAGCUCUGUAUGAUCUAGGGGGCGUACUGCUUACCGAAAUCAAGCAAACUUCGAAUACCAUAUAUCAUGUUCAGGAGUGAGUCCGUGGAUGACAAGGUCCUCGGACGAGAGGGGAACAGCCCAGACCGCCAGCUAAGGUCCCUAAUUAUGUCUAAGUGGGAAAGGAGGUGGACAUUCAUAGACAACCAGGAGGUUGGCUUAGAAGCAGCCAUGCCUUGAAAGAGUGCGUAAUAGCUCACUGGUCGAGAGUGCCUGCGCCGAAGAUGUAACGGGGCUAAGACAUAAACCGAAGCUGCGGAAGAUACUACGUAUCUUGGUAGGAGAGCGUUCUGUAGGCCGUCGAAGGGAUGCCGCAAGGCCAUCCUGGAGGUAUCAGAAGCGAGAAUGCAGGAAUGAGUAGCGAGAAGGCGGGCGAGAAUCCCGCCGGCCGGAAGUCCAAGGUUUCCAGGGGAAGGCUUGUCCGCCCUGGGGAAGUCGGGACCUAAGCAUAAGCAAAAUUGUGACGGCGAAUGGAAAACAGGUUAAUAUUCCUGUACCGCUGUUAUCGCUUGAGAGACGGAGUGACGCAGGAAGGUAUGCGAGAAGGCUGACGGUUUAGCCUUUCUAAGGGCCCAGCGUGGGCGUGCAGGUAAAUCCGCACGCCUAAACGUGAGACCUGACGGGGAAGUGCAUUUGCAUAAGUCGCAGAUCCUACACUGCCAGGAAAAACUUCUAUCGAUGAGAAGCAGCGCCCGUACUGUAAACCGACACAGGUGGACAGAGUGAGAAACUUAAGGCCGACAGGAUAACUCUAGCUAAGGAACUCUGCAAAAUAGCCCCGUAACUUCGGGAGAAGGGGUGCCUGACAUACCUGAAGAGAGAGACGCUCCUAGGGGAAACAGGCCGCAGUGAAGAGUCUCAAGCAACUGUUUACCAAAAACACAGGUCUAUGCUAAGCUGAAAGGCGACGUAUAUGGGCUGACACCUGCCCAGUGCCGGAAGGUUAAGAGGAGGAGUGAGAGCUCCGAUUUGAAGCCCCGGUGAACGGCGGCCGUAACUAUAACGGUCCUAAGGUAGCGAAAUUCCUUGUCGGGUAAGUUCCGACCUGCACGAAUGGUGAAAUGAUUUGAGAGCUGUCUUGGCUGGAGACCUGGUGAAGUUGUAAUGCCGGUGAAGAUACCGGCUACCUGCAGUAGGACGGAAAGACCCCGUGGAGCUUUACUGCAGUCUGGCAUUGGGUUUUGGCUGUGUGUGUAUAGGAUAGUUGGGAGACUGUGAAGUUAAGGCGUCAGUCUUAACAGAGUCGUCGUUGGAAUACCAACCAUAUGCCGUUGAAAUUCUAAUCCGGGAACGGAGACAGUGCUAGAUGGGCAGUUUGACUGGGGCGGUCGCCUCCCAAAGAGUAACGGAGGCGUUCAAAGGUUCCCUCAGGCUGGAUGGAAAUCAGCCUAAGAGUGCAAACGCAUAAGGGAGCUUGACUGCAAGACUGACGGGUCGAGCAGGUACGAAAGUAGGAGUUAGUGAUCCGGCGGUUCCGCAUGGAAGGACCGUCGCUCAACGGAUAAAAGCUACCCCGGGGAUAACAGGCUGAUACUUCCCAAGAGUCCAUAUCGACGGAAGUGUUUGGCACCUCGAUGUCGGCUCGUCUCAUCCUGGGGCUGGAGAAGGUCCCAAGGGUUGGGCUGUUCGCCCAUUAAAGAGGCACGCGAGCUGGGUUCAGAACGUCGUGAGACAGUUCGGUCCCUAUCCACUGCAGGCG